CAGUAGCCACGGGAAUACGAAGGGGGCUAGCGUUGCUCGGAAUCACUGGGCGUAAAGGGUGCGUAGGCGGGUCUUUAAGUCAGGGGUGAAAUCCUGGAGCUCAACUCCAGAACUGCCUUUGAUACUGAAGAUCUUGAGUUCGGGAGAGGUGAGUGGAACUGCGAGUGUAGAGGUGAAAUUCGUAGAUAUUCGCAAGAACACCAGUGGCGAAGGCGGCUCACUGGCCCGAUACUGACGCUGAGGCACGAAAGCGUGGGGAGCAGACAGGAUUAGAUACCCGGGUAGUCCCUGUCUCUUAUAC
rnacentral:rRNA from 1 species